AUUGAACGCUGGCGGCAGGCUUAACACAUGCAAGUCGAGCGAGCGGCGGACGGGUGAGUAAUGUAUGGGGAACUGCCCGAUAGAGGGGGAUAACUACUGGAAACGGUAGCUAAUACCGCAUACCAUCAGAUGUACCCAUAUGGGAUUAGCUAGUAGGUGGGGUAAGGGCUCACCUAGGCGACGAUCCCUAGCUGGUCUGAGCGGAUGAGCAGACACACGGGAAAGGAGACACGGCCCAGACUCCUACGCGAGGCAGCAGUGGGGAAUAUUGCACAAUGGGAGCAAGCCUGAUGCAGCCAUGACGCGUGUGUGAAGAAGGCCUUAGGGUUGUAAAGCACUUUCAGCGAGGAGGCGUUACCCGCAGAAGAAGCACCGGCUAACUCCGGGCCAGCAGCCGCGGUAAUUC
rnacentral:rRNA from 1 species